CUGAAUUAACACUGCUGCAUUAUGGAUUUAAGUUCUGACAAGCAUUUCAUGAGAACAUAAAUGAAGAAUGGCAUUUCAAAAGCCAACUACAGAGAAAGGCAGAGCGUGCAAUCUCAUGCACAAUGGAAUCUACGAAAGACCUGUUUACAGACCGGGAGGGAGAGGAUGCGGAGCUGAGCAACAGCUACCAACUUACAAUCAGACCGGAGCAGGAAGUUCUGAAAUCAAGGAACACUGGAGCACUGGAAGUCAGCCUACUGGAACUCUGAGAUACCAGGAGCCCUGAGCAUAGAGAAGAGCAGUGCUGGUAAUCGGCUGCAUUUAAAGGCAAUAUAUACUGCACAUGGACCCAAUGGCAGUACUUUUGGAGAUGUCUUGAAUGGAGUCUAGUGUCGAGUAGAGGACAGAGAAGGAGAAUUUAGAAUAUGGUGAAAAAAAUAUGUCCCUUCCUCAUUAUAAAGCAACACAUUCACUGUUAGUACAAGUAUCCACAAAAGAGAAAGAUAAUCAGGCAUGCCAAAUUUCUUGAGUGACAGGCCUCAGAACUUCAACAGGAACCAAAGGCUUUCUUCUCUUAAAGCAUCUUCUGAGGACCAGUGCUUCUCACUUUGCUCCAUCAUCAUAGAGAUUAAGCAACAGACCUGGAUAUGUGAUGUUAUCAACGCUACUCAUUCAAAAUGUAGAACAAGUCCAAAUUUCACCACCACGUAGAAGAUUUGUCAGCUCUAAAGUCAUAGGUCAUUUGGUUUGGGGCCUGAGAAUGUUGUGCAUUCAAGUCACAAUGCUGUGCCUUCAAGUCACCAGGGUGUUCUCACACAUAUCUGCACUCACUCUCAUAGGAGAGUUUUCACAUGUUGGAAAUUGAAAAAUUCGGUCCGUUUUAAGAACAAACACUUUGGAAACACUAUAUAUCAGUGUUUAUAGCUGAGAACCCCUAUUUACUAUUUAGAACUAAGCCUCAAAAAAAAAAAAAAAAAAAAAAAAAAAAAAAACC